rnacentral:rRNA from 1 species
AGAGUUUGAUCCUGGCUCAGGACGAACGCUGGCGGCGUGCUUAACACAUGCAAGUCGAACGAUGAUGCCCAGCUUGCUGGGUGGAUUAGUGGCGAACGGGUGAGUAACACGUGAGUAACCUGCCCCUGACUCUGGGAUAAGCGUUGGAAACGACGUCUAAUACUGGAUAUGAUCACUGGCCGCAUGGUCUGGUGGUGGAAAGAUUUUUUGGUUGGGGAUGGACUCGCGGCCUAUCAGCUUGUUGGUGAGGUAAUGGCUCACCAAGGCGACGACGGGUAGCCGGCCUGAGAGGGUGACCGGCCACACUGGGACUGAGACACGGCCCAGACUCCUACGGGAGGCAGCAGUGGGGAAUAUUGCACAAUGGGCGAAAGCCUGAUGCAGCAACGCCGCGUGAGGGAUGACGGCCUUCGGGUUGUAAACCUCUUUUAGUAGGGAAGAAGCGAAAGUGACGGUACCUGCAGAAAAAGCACCGGCUAACUACGUGCCAGCAGCCGCGGUAAUACGUAGGGUGCAAGCGUUGUCCGGAAUUAUUGGGCGUAAAGAGCUCGUAGGCGGUUUGUCGCGUCUGCUGUGAAAUCCCGAGGCUCAACCUCGGGCUUGCAGUGGGUACGGGCAGACUAGAGUGCGGUAGGGGAGAUUGGAAUUCCUGGUGUAGCGGUGGAAUGCGCAGAUAUCAGGAGGAACACCGAUGGCGAAGGCAGAUCUCUGGGCCGUAACUGACGCUGAGGAGCGAAAGCGUGGGGAGCGAACAGGAUUAGAUACCCUGGUAGUCCACGCCGUAAACGUUGGGCGCUAGAUGUAGGGACCUUUCCACGGUUUCUGUGUCGUAGCUAACGCAUUAAGCGCCCCGCCUGGGGAGUACGGCCGCAAGGCUAAAACUCAAAGGAAUUGACGGGGGCCCGCACAAGCGGCGGAGCAUGCGGAUUAAUUCGAUGCAACGCGAAGAACCUUACCAAGGCUUGACAUACACCGGAAACGGCCAGAGAUGGUCGCCCCCUUGUGGUCGGUGCACAGGUGGUGCAUGGUUGUCGUCAGCUCGUGUCGUGAGAUGUUGGGUUAAGUCCCGCAACGAGCGCAACCCUCGUUCUAUGUUGCCAGCGCGUUAUGGCGGGGACUCAUAGGAGACUGCCGGGGUCAACUCGGAGGAAGGUGGGGAUGACGUCAAAUCAUCAUGCCCCUUAUGUCUUGGGCUUCACGCAUGCUACAAUGGCCGGUACAAAGGGCUGCGAUACCGUAAGGUGGAGCGAAUCCCAAAAAGCCGGUCUCAGUUCGGAUUGAGGUCUGCAACUCGACCUCAUGAAGUCGGAGUCGCUAGUAAUCGCAGAUCAGCAACGCUGCGGUGAAUACGUUCCCGGGCCUUGUACACACCGCCCGUCAAGUCAUGAAAGUCGGUAACACCCGAAGCCGGUGGCCUAACCCUUGUGGAAGGAGCCGUCGAAGGUGGGAUCGGUGAUUAGGACUAAGUCGUAA